GUUCGUUCUCAGGGCGGGGUGAAAUUCCCCACCGGCGGUGAACCCCUUCUGACAGAGACGAAGAGGUAAGCCCGCGAGCGCUCUCACGUGCAAGGAUGUGCACAUGAGGGGUCUAGCAGAUCCGGUGUAAUUCCGGAGCCGACGGUCACAGUCCGGAUGGAAGAGAAUGUAU
rfam:Corynebacterium kroppenstedtii DSM 44385, complete genome.